rnacentral:rRNA from 1 species
CCUACGGGUGGCUGCAGUAGGGAAUAUUGCUCAAUGGGGGAAACCCUGAAGCAGCAACGCCGCGUGGAGGAUGAAGGUUUUCGGAUUGUAAACUCCUUUUGUUAGAGAAGAGAAUGACGGUAGCUAACGAAUAAGCACCGGCUAACACCGUGCCAGCAGCCGCGGUAAUACGGAGGGUGCAAGCGUUCCUCGGAAGCCCUGGGCGUAAAGAGCGCGUAGGCGGGAUCGCAAGUCAGAUGUGAAAUCCUAUGGCUUAACCCUAGAACUGCAUUUGAAACUGUUAUUCUAGAGUAUGGGAGAGGUAGGUGGAAUUCUUGGUGUCGGGGUCAACUCCGUA